GACGGGACCGCACAAGCGGUGGAUGAUGUGGAUUAAUUCGAUGCAACGCGAAAACCUUACCUACCCUUGACAUGUCUGGAACCUUGGUGAGAGCCGAGGGUGCUUCGGGAGCCAGAACACAGGUGCUGCGUGGCUGUCGUCAGCUCGUGUCGUGAGAUGUUGGGUUAAGUCCCGCAACGAGCGCAACCCUUGUCAUUAGUUGCCAUCAUUUAGUUGGGCACUCUAAUGAGACUGCCGGUGACAAACCGGAGGAAGGUGGGGAUGACGUCAAGUCCUCAUGGCCCUUAUGGGUAGGGCUUCACACGUCAUACAAUGGUCGGUACAGAGGGUUGCCAAGCCGCGAGGUGGAGCCAAUCCCUUAAAGCCGAUCGUAGUCCGGAUCGUAGUCUGCAACUCGACUACGUGAAGUCGGAAUCGCUAGUAAUCGCAGAUCAGCAUGCUGCGGUGAAUACGUUCCCGGGUCUU
rnacentral:rRNA from 1 species